CCUGAAAUCAAAAUAAAACAAUAACUCCAUGAAAAUCAAACAAUACAGGAGAAAUACUUUUUUCUGUACUUUUUUCAUAAAGGAAACAGAAAAAGCAGGACAGGAAACUUCCCAAUUUCUAUGCUUGUUCACAAAAAUGAUUUCAGACCUGAACUCAAAGGUCUCAUCUGACUUUGCUGUAAUCAAGUCCAUUACAUAUUAGUACAAGAAACAAUUACCAGAUUGCAACUGAUCAGUAUGUUAAUUUUGCACAAAGUCUUUGGGCACUCAAAAACAGCUGUAGAGUUCAUUUUCAAUAUAAAAUAAUAUUCAAUAAAAUAUUCAAUAAAAUACAGCAGCGCAUGUAGGGAUUGCCUUUUUGCUUGCUUAAACUCAAACAGAAAGGCUCAGAUAAAUGAUUUUUUUUUGUAUUACCCAUUCAAUUAAUAGUUACUUAUGUUUAGAAACAAUGUGAAGUGUAGUCUAGUGGUUAGAACAAACAGCAGGACCAUCCUAGGUACUAGCCUAACCUUCAGUCAACCUUCAGUCAGUAAAAAAAACUUGGUAGCAACAAAACUACUAUAUAGCAAAUGCUGAAUCCGGGGUUAAAACAAUAUAUGAGAGAGAGAGAGAGUGUGUAAAAAUGUCUACUAUAAAUCAGUCUUUAUUGAAAAGAAUAUAUUUUGAACUAUCCAUUGGUAUUCUAAAUAAAUAGAUCAUAGUUAAACCCUACAACACUUCCGUGAGAUAGACAAAUGGGUAAACUGAAGCACAGGGAAAUUAAUACAUUUCCCAUGAUGGCACUGCAAGACAGUGGCAGAUCCAAUAGGAGAACCCGCCAAUGUUGAAUUUCAGACCCCUAUUCUAAUCACUUAACAAAACUGUUUCCCUAAAAGCAGUAGUCCAAUUAUACUUAGGGGACAUGGCUUUGACAGCACAAAAAAUAGAACGCCAAGCUCCAGUAACAGAUUAUCAUGAAAGCAUUUUACUUUUCUACCACAUAUAUAUAAUAAACUGCAUUAAUCCUUAUACUCUAAAACCAAAUCUGAAAUGUGUGACAAUUUUGUAAUAAUUACAUACAAAUAUAGCAUCAUGUAUUUCUCCAACAUAAUAUACAUUCAUAUGCAGUAAUCAAUAUUGGUUUGAUCAAAAAGUCAUUUUAUAUAAUAUGGAUGUCCAAAAUAAGGAAAAAGAACAUAAAAAAGGAAACAUGAAGUGGCAAGUUACAUGGAAAAUUUCACCUAUAGGCAAUUUUAAUUUUUAUUACUAUUAGCAGUUUGUUUAUGUGGUUAAAGCAGGAGACUGUCAACACUUAUUCCAGUUCUGGCUCUGCCACUAACUUCCUCUGUAUCCAUGGGCUAGUCACCUAGCCUCUCUGUUCUUAGCUUUGCAAAGCACUUUAAGACCUUUGGAUGAAAGGUGCUAUGUAAGUGCAAAGUAUUAUUGUAUCAGACUAAGCAGAUGGUGAUCAUGAAAUAAAAGGAGAUUAGGGUGAAUAACUGUAACAUGUAUUUUUCUUAAAAUAAUGUGCCGUUUAGUAACAAUUUUUAAAACUUUUUUUAAACUCCCUUUCAGAUAGAAACCAGCCUUUACAUAGUAAAAUCAUAUGUUUUUAAAAUCCUUUAAAAGUUUCUUAUUUAGAUCUUUUGAAUGUUGAUGUUUAUAGGGGUUUUCUCGGAAAGGGAGAAACUAUCUGCACAAACAUAAGAAAAAAUUUGUUGACUUCUUUCCAUUUCAUCAGUCUUAUGUGUUACUUAUAACUACAGAAAGCACAAAGUGGGUGAGGUAAUGUUUUUUAUUAGACCAAUUUCUGUUGUGAGAAAGACAAGCUUUCAAGUUUACACAGGCUCUACAAAGCAAUGUACGCAUAGCGAGACUCAAGUCAGCUGACCUGUGUCAGGGAACCUGGGCUUGAGUGUCUACAUUGCAUUGUAACCCUAGGUUAAGAAUUUUCUGACUGAUGCUCAAACCUAGGGCUCUGGCAUCCACACUCCGAGUCAAAGUACAGAUCCGAGUCAAGGUAACCAUAUCCCAGAGCUCCUAGCACAAUGCCCCCCACAAUGCUGAUUCUAGCCCUAGGAAUGUGUCGCACUGUGGGAAAACUCUGCUGCUCAUCCUGCACAUUACAGGAAAUUUUAACUGUCUGCCAACAAAUCCUGCCGAGCAAUCUUUUUGUUCUGUGUACUCCCAGCUACCAGAGCUAGCAACAACGAAUAGGCAUCUUUGGAUGAACUUCUCUUGUUUGCAUUUUCAUGCAUAUGUCAGGAAGCUGGCAGAACAUCCAUAAGGUGCUGGUGCAAUGUUUUCUGUCCCACCAAAGGUACCUCACUGAUUUCCUGAUGGAGCUGCAGGAGGAGUACCCUGGCAUCACAGACUCGCAAUGGCAGAUGCUGCUCAGUAUAAUUGGCAUAGCCACUGAUGGCCCCUACGUAGAGCGCUGCUUCCAGUGUAUGGCCACAAGCACCGACUGGUGGAACCAGAUAGUCAUGCAGAGCUGGGAUGACCAGCAGCAGAUCCAGAACUUUUGCAUAAGGAAAGCAACAUUUCUGGAGCUUUGUGAGCUUCUUAACUCCCCCUUCCCCGGACACACCCUCCAGCAUAAAGAGAUACACAAAGUCACCCUUGCCAGUCCAAAAGCAGAGUGUUAUAACUGUGUGGAAGCUGGCUACCCCAGACUGCUCCAGGUCUAUUGCCAACCGGUUUGGGGUUGGAAAGCUGACUAUGGGUAAAGUGGUGGCAAAGGUAACUGACACAAUCAGGCAUGAGGUUUACCCCAAGGUGGCAGACAUUAAAGAUAUUCUAGAGGUAACUGAUGGCUUUGAGAGAGUGGGGUUUCGUAACAGUGCAAGUGAUGGGACUCGUGCCCAUAGUAUGCCCUUCUCAAGGAGCACAUGAAUAUAUAAACCACAAAGGGUAUUACUCCAUUUUUAUGCAGGAACUAGUGGACCACAGAUUUAUGAAUGUCAACGUGGGCUGUACAGGAAAAGUUCACAAUGCCGGAAUUUUUCACCGCGCGGCAGUCUACAUUCUUGGACAGGCCAGGACACUAUUCCUACUAAAUGACACUGACAUAAAUGAUGUUACUGUUCACACAGUUAUUCUGGGGGACCACCACAUACCCUCUUUUAACUUGGCUUAUGAAACCAUAUCCUGAUUUCCGAGGCCCUGGCAAAUAAAGGUUUAAUUACACUCAACGCAGCUGUAGAAUGGUUAUUGAAUGUGCUUUUGGCAGAUUAAAAUCAUGUUGGAGGUGUUUGCAAACCCAUUUAGAUGCCAGUAUAAUUAAUGCUGUCUGCAUUACUGUGGCUUGCUGUGCUCUUCACAACCUAGAGGCCAGAGGUGAGCCAUUUCCCCCUGAAUAGAUCUAUGAUAGCAAGGGAAUGCUGGAUCUGUACCCUCAGCCAGAAAGUGCAGCUACCACUGUGGGAGCUGGUUGCACCUGUGCAGCAGAAGGGAUAUUUUGUGUGCAUUCGCAUUAUUGACUAGCAUGGCCCAAUAGAAGAGGGGGAAUAAUACCUGUAUGAAUGUGGUUGGGUGGGGGAGAGGACUGGCUCAUUUUUGGCAGGGGGCAGUGCAUGGGAGGGGUGUGGAUUUAAUUGCUAUGUAAUGUAAGUCAGAUGACAUGAUGAAAAAUAAAUUUGUGAUUGCGGACCAGCAAAGAGAGGAAUAUUGUUUGCUUUGCCAUGCUUAAUUACUCCUUAACAUGUUUUUACCUUUAUCUCAGAUCCUGUGUGUAUGAUAUGAUGCAUUGAACAGCAAUAAACUUUCUUGAAAAUAUAACAUUCUUUAUUUGUAAACAGGUCAGAAAACAGUAAACCACUCACACAGUGUUGGGUAGGCCAGCUGCCAUUACAACACCAAACACCCCCACAUAAAGGACAGAAAAUAGUUAAUACCUAACACAAUCCCCCUACCACUGAAUGUCCGCUGGCCCCUCCUUUCCCUUCUUUACAUGUUUAGCCCUGACUUUGUGACGGGUGAGUGAGGUGGAGGUUUCAAGCAAAGAGGGGUGAAAGAAGGAAGGCUGCACAGGGUUUAGUUGCCCAGCCCAGCUGCUCACCAGUCCUGAGUGCCUGGGCUCCCCCCAACAUGGAGUUGUGCAAGCUACUGCUGGGUUGAGGGUACGUUGCUGGGGCAUCAUGCCAUGCUGUGGGAGAGGCAGCAGGAGCCAGUAUCUUGCAGCCAUUAAGAUAGGAGUUGCUGGAAAAGUUGUCUUUGUUGGGCUCUGUCCUCUUCCCUUAGCCACUGUUUCUGUUCCAGGAACUACUGUGCAAGUGCCUGCUCCCUUGCUGAAACACUCGCCUCCACCUGGGCAGCGAGCCUCAACCCUGCUUCCUGCCUGUCAGCCUGCCAUUGUUCCAGUCUUUCAUCCCUCUUCUUCUGGUACUGGAACUGCUGCUCUGCCCUCUCAAGAACAUCGACCAUGUGUUCUUCAUGGAAAAGCUUCCUUUGGGAAUGGACCUGAGGGUAUGCUGAGCCAGGGAUGGAGUUCCUGAAGAACAGCAGGCCUUUCAUAUAUUGGAAGACAUAACAGGUCUUGUGGUGCCCUAUUGGCAGAGGGAGAUGUUAUUCCAGACUGCUGGAGGGAAUCCUACAGCGUAUGCAACAGAAGUAUUCAAACCAACAACACAUCCAUGAGUGGAGUGGAUUAGUCAGCUAUACGGGGUGUGUGGAAAAUACAUUCUUCCCCACAAUGUGACAAACUAUGUGGAGUUCCUGCUUCCGGAAAAGUAUGCAGCUAUCAGCAGCCAGUACUGGGUCCUAAUCCAUGAUGGAAUAAACAUGAUGCUGUGUUAGAGCACACAAGGCUUAUCCUAUUAUUGAUGAACACAAAACUCUCUGAAAUCUGCAGUUUUAAUCCUGCAUGGAUUAUCGCUAACUGAAAUUGACUAGAUUUGGAAACAGAAAAAAUGGUUACCUAAUUUACGUAACUGUUGUUCUUCGAGAUAUGUUGUUCAUGUCCAUUCCAUUCAAGGUGUGUGUGCGCCCAUGUGCACAGCCAUCGGAGAUUUUUGUCUUGGCGCCCUCUUGAGUGACAUGUUCAUGUGUAGGUAUAUAAGGCGCCGCUGGCCCUAAGCACUCUCAGUUCCUUCUUGCUGGCAACUCUGACAGAGGGGCAGGAGGACAGGUAAUGGAAUGGACAGAAGCAACACAUGUCGAAACGGUAGGUAACCGUUUUUUCUUCUUUGAGUGCUUGUUUAUGUCAAUUCCAUUCUAUGUGACUCACAAGCAGUAUCCCUGGAGGCGAAUUCAGAGUUCACAAUUGUGUGGCUUGCAACACUGCUCUGCUGAAGCCAGCAUCGUCUUGGGCUUGCUGGGUAAGCGGAUGAGACGUAAAUGUGUGGAAAGAUGACCAGGUAGAAGCCCUGCAGAUAUCCUGAAUCAACACCUGGGCCAGAAAGACUGCCAAUGAAGCCUAAACCCUAGUUGUGUGGGCAGUCGCUGGUGGAGGCACCUUCGCAAGGUCAUUGCAGUAAUGGAUGUAGGCCAUGAUCCAAGAAAAAAUGGUUACCUACCUUUCGUAACUGUUGUUCUUCAAGAUGUGUUGUUCAUGUCCAUUCCAAGUAGGUGUGUGCACGCUGCGUGCAUGGUCGCCGGAAGAUAUUUCCCCUAGCGGUACCCGUCAGGUCAGCUGUGGAGCCCUUUGGAGGUGGGUGGAUCUUGGAAUGGACAUGAACAACACAUCUUGAAGAACAACAGUUACGAAAGGUAGACAACCGUUUUUUCUUCUUCAAGUGAUUGCUCAUGUCGAUUCCAAGUAGGUGUCUCCCAAGCAGUCCCUAGGAGAAGAGGUCAGAGUUCACCGACUCGCAGACUGCAGCACUGCUCUGCCAAAUGCGACGUUGUCUCUAGCCUGCUGUGUAAUGGCAUAAUGAGAUGUAAUGGUGUGAAUAGACAACCACAUCGCCACCCUGCAGAUGUCUUGAAUAGGAACCUGCGCCAGGAACGCUGCAGAUGACACUUGCGCUCCUGUGGAGUGCACUGUUAAUGCUGGGGCUGGUAUCUUUGCUAGGUUGUAUCACACCCAGAUACAUGAUCCAUGAAGAGAUCUUUUGGGCCGACAUGGAGAGCCCCUCCAUCCACUUUGCAAUUGCAAUGAAGAGCUGUGUCGAUUUCCGAAACGGCUUUGUCCGCCCAAUAUAAAAGCCUAAUGUUCAUCUGACAUCCAGGGAACAGAGCAUCCAUUCCUGGUUAUUAGCAUUUGGCUUAGGGAAGAACACUGGAAGAAAAAUGUCCUGAUUCACAUGAAAUUGCGAAACUACCUUUGGGAGGAAAGCUGGGUGUGGCUGCAAAUUCACUUUGUCUUUAGAAAACACAGUAUAAGGGCGCUCGGAUGUGAGGGCCUUGAACUCAGACACCCUCCUGGCUGAAGUUAUAGGAAUGCCACCUUCCAAGAAAGGUAAAGUAGAGACCAUGUUGCUAGGGGCUCAAAGGGAGGGCCCAUCAGCCUCGAGAGCAGCAGGUUGAGAUCCCAUGGGGGAAUCAUCUGCCUAACUUGAGGGUACAGUCUAUCUAGCCCUUCUACUUGCUCAAGACCCAUUGGUCUGAGGUGAUUUGAGCUCAGGCCUGGUAGAAAUGAGACAGAUGAUUCACAAAGGGAGGGGAAGGAUAUGGCAUCUGAACUGGUGCAUCACCCCUGGGAGUACCUUCAAAAGUUUGUUUGGAGGCUGAGGGCUGCUUCGCUGAGCCUUGGCCCUGGUUAGAGGAGGACUGAGAAGGCCUCUGCCUAUUACUCCUGCCCUGCUUCCUGCUACAGUCCUGCCUAGGAAGAGCUGAGGAGAAGCGAAGGGUGGGUUGUGGCUUAAAUGGCUUUCUUUGGUGGGCUGGCGUUUGAAGCCCCAGGGACUUCAGUGUUGCCUGCAAGUCUUUCAGGCUGUGAAGCCUAGUGUCUGUUUGCUCCGAAAAGAGGCCUGAACAGUCAAAAGGCAAGUCCUGAAUAUGUGUUGGACUUUGUGUGGGAGUCCCAACACUUGAAGCCAUGAGCUCCAUCUCAUGGCUAUCGCAGUUGUCAUCGUAUGGGUUGCUGACUCCACCGAGUCCAGCGAGGCCUAUAAGGAGGUCCUUGUGAUGACCUUGCCUUCCUCCAGGACAGCCACAAACUCCAAACGGGAGUCUGCUGGAAGCAGUUCCUGAAAUAUGGACAUGUUCCAGGAAUUAUAGCUAUAGCAGCUAAGGACUGCCUGCUGGUUGGCAAUGAGAAGCUGGAGCCCCCCGGUAGAAUACACCUUCCUACCAAAGAAAUCCAGCUACUUCGCCUCUUUGGAUUUAGGAGUCGGCCCCAGUUGCCUCUGCCUUUCCUUAUGGUUGGCCGCCUCCACCACCAGAGUACCCUGCUGAGGAUGAGUAAACAGGUACUCAUACCCUUUGGAGGGCACAAUAUAUUUCCUCUGUAUCCCUUUUGCCAUGGGGAGAAGAGAGGCGGGUGUUUGCCACAACACCUUAGUGGUGUUAUAGAUAGACUUAAUAAGGGGCAAAGCCACCCUUGAAGGACCUUCAGGGACCAGAAUGUCAACCAUAGGGUCGGUCUCCUCCGACACCUCCUCCGACUGCAUGCUUAAGUUUUGAGCCACCCUCCUGAGAAACUCUUGGUGUGCCCUGUUAUCCACAGCAGGCAGUGUGGUGGAAAUGCCUGCCACCACUUCAUCCAGGGAGGAUGAGGAAGAUGCCUGCGGGGGCACUGGGUUUUCCUGACCCUCUGGUUCGCGGGAUCCCCUUGCACCGAAACACCUUGUGCAGUGCCAGGAGUGGUGCUGGUUUCCGGGCCUGCACCCUCUCAAUACUGGUCCCAGUGCCGGGUCCCGCAGCAGUCUUGGUGCCAACCUGCGUGCCCAUCUCCUGCCCUUGAGGAGGUUCCCGGGCUACCAAUGUCGAUGAUGGAGGGACCCAUGCCUCCGAAGCCACUGAUAAGGAUCUGGACUCCGGCCCUAGGGCUUCGUAGUAGGCCCAGGAGGUCCAGAAGGGCCAUUGAGCCGGCACCUGCCACAGCAGAGGCCAGGACAUCAUGGGUAGCGGCUGCCCUUGCUCUUGUCUUGAGCAGUGCCGAGGUCGGUGCCGGCUUUGCCUAGAGGUGUACGACUCUGCCUCCAAGUCCGAUGAGGACUCCGACCUUGGCAACCAAGGCGGUGCGGAGCGAGAUGGUGCUCGGGAGCAGUGCCGAGGUGAGGGCAAGCGGUGCCUCGUCAUCAUCAGCUUGCCUCGAGAGGGCACUGUGCCUCUUUGUGGCAUCCAUGCCGGUGCAGGGGACUGCGCCGUCAUCGUUAUGAGGUCCCUAACUGCUGCAAAGGUGUCUGGCGUAGAGGGAAGGUCUGGGUCCUCCUGCCAACACUCCCGCACUGGGGAGUCCACUAGAACCGGACUUGACAAACUGUAAGGCCGGAGUCAACAGUGACAGCUGAGUUGGAGCUGGAGCAGGGUGUCCUAGCAGGGAACACACCUGGCUGGUGCCUCCUCACUCCACUACUUUAGUGGGAGAACGACUGCUGUCCAUCUUCUUUUUCUUGUGCGACACCGAUGAAUGGGAGUGGUGCUGGGCACUCGCACUGGAGGAGGUCUUCAGCGUCGUGGAAUGGCAGUGCUGAGGAUCCUUGGAGCCCAAGUCCUUUCUCGGCGCUGUGGCCUCUCGUACCAAGGCCAGUGCGCUCCGCACCAAAGUGCUGGGUUUGGGAUCAGACACCGUCAUUGCCAUCUGGGGACAAAUGGCUGAACCCAUGAGGAGUAGUUUCAGCCUAAAGUCCCUCUCCUUCUUGGUCCUUGGUCAGAUGCCACUGCAGAUCUUACAUUUAUCUGUUUGAUGGGCUUCCCACAAGCACUUCAGACAGGAGUUGUGUGGGUCUCCCUUUGGCAUAGGCUUCAGACAGGACCCACACAGUUUGAAACCCUGAGACCGAGGCAUGCCCCGGUCCCCAGAAGGGGAAACGUGGGGCAGGGGAGGAAGAAGGAACCCCCAACUGAAAUUUAUCUAUAACUAAGAAGGUCCUGCUGAGGCCAUCUGCUAACAUGUUCCUGGCCCUGGGCAAAUGCGCGGCUACCAGGGAUUAGACUUUGGGGUGUGUGGUUGACCAUGGUGGCUGGACAUAGAGCCAGCUGAUUGACCCCCACGUCCCCCAGAAGGGUGUGUGGAAGGACUAAGGGGCACUGCUGGAGGGCAGUGGUCCUGUAGAGGACGCCGCAAGUUGGUGAGCGACGUGGGCUCAGAAGCCAACCGAGGGCAAGACAACGGGCGGGAUACUACUGAGAGGGGACGCUCCACUGGACUGAACUAAUUCCCGGAGUAACCAGUAGGAGGCGCCGCGGUGGUGAGUCCCAACCUUCUUACAGGGAUGUAGACCAACACCAGCCAUGCUUGCAGUGGCCGGAAAUGGAGCUGGGCAUGCGGGACCAUGUGCAUACAUGAGGCCAUGUGGCCUAACAAUCGCAGGCAGGUGUGAGCAGUGGUGAGUGGGUAGUGUUUCACAUGGGGGAUUCAGGAGUGACAUGGCCUGGAAACGUGCCUCUGGAAGGAAGGCUCUGGCUCAUGUGGAGCCAAGAACCGCCCCAAUGAACUCUAUUUGUUGCACCAGCCUUAAGGUCGAUUUCUUUUCAUUUAUCAACAGGCCCAGGUCAUGGCAGGUGGAACGAACUAGAUCAAGGCUCCUCUGCACCUGUUCCUGAGAUCUGCCUUUGAUAAGCCAAUCAUUAAGAUACAGGAUGAGAACACCAAAAAAUCUGAAUAUUACCUCGGCUUUUGGCAGCUUCCUUCAAAGCAGUUAGAACUUGAGGCUUCAGGUCAUCAGAAAGUAAUCUUCCUUCAAGGCCUGGGAAGAGGGACCUAGCAUGUCAUUGAAAACAAAUAAGUAUUGAUCUUAGUAUCCUUAUCCAAGUCAUUUAUGUUGUUGUUCUAUAGUUUCAAAUACUGUGAAACAAAUUAUAUAUGUACUUGCCUAUAUAUUUUGAAAAGUUUUCUUUUUGCAGUAUUUAAAAAAAAACAAAAUAUGUAUAGCAACAGAGAAUCCUAAGAAAAUUAACCUCUAACUAUUCUGUACUUUUGAGAGGUGGUUUAAGAGCGUUCUUGUUAAAAAUACCAGGUUUACAACCUGAAGUCAUUAAGACUGAUUUUAAUGUAGUUAUACUCUAGAAAGAGACUUUUAAAAUAGCUUUCUAGGAUUCUAUGUCGCUCAGUGAACUGACAUCAGAGUAUAAAGAUGUAGGGUAUGUAAUUGCUAGCACUGAAAAUACCACCUGGGACCUGAAAAUCAGGCUGUGCUCUUCCUGGCUCUGAAAUCACCAGCAACAAAUAAUUGUAAACCACAAAUAACCAUGGUAAAGGUUGGAUGAAUAGAUUUUAUGCUUCAGACAGUAAAUUUUCAUGUCACAAGCCACAACACUUCAAGUUCAAGAAGUUCUGGAGGCCAAAUUUAGGUUGGUAGGUAAGAGAUUAAAGACCAUGACCUCCAUGGUAGCAUUCUCUGAAAGGCUUCCAGUUCCACACAAGGGGCCAGUAUGUGGGUGAAAUAAUGAUGAAGGGAGGAGGGAUUUAGGUUUAUUAGGAACUGGGGAACCUUUUAGGGGAAGCAGUGGCCUAUACAGGAGGGAUGGGCACCACCUUAACCAAAAUGGAGCCAGACUACUGGCAUGUACAAUUUUAAAACUUGUAGAGGAAUUUUUAAAUUAAGGGCUGGAGAAAAGACAACAGGUGUGGAGGAACACAUGGUUCAGGCAUAUACACCCCUCACGGAUGAAUUUAUUAAAGGGGGAACUCUGUAUACUAGUAAAGAGGAUAGGAAAGAAGUUGGUAAAGUGCAGAUAGGAGGCAGUGAGGAACAGUAAAAUGUAACAGAGUCCUAUUUAAAUAUAACAUGUGAAAGCAAGCAACUGAAUAUUGACAAAAUUUACAAGUACUUAUAUACAAAUGCUAGAAGUCUAAAUACUAAAAUGGGUGAACAAAAGUGCCUAGCAUUAAAUUGAGGAUAUUGCUAUAACAGGCAUCAUAGAAACUUGGUGGAUAAUCAGUGGGACAUAAUACCAGGAUAUAAAAUCUAUAGGAAUGACAGAAUAGCUUGUGCUGUUGAGGGACUGGCAUUAUAUUUUAGAGAAUCUAUAGAGUCAAAUAAGGUAAAAAUCUGGAAUGAAACAAACUGUAUCAUAGAAUCUCUAUAAAUAGAAAUUCCAUGCUUGAAUAAAAGGAGUAAAGCAAUAGGAAUAUACUACUGACCACCUGACCAGAUGACAGUGAUUGUAAAAUGCAAAGGGAGGUCAGAGAGGCUACAAAAGCAGAAAGCACAAUAAUCAUGAUUGACUUCAACUAGCCUCAUAUUGACUAGGUAAAUGUCACUUCAAGGCAUGAUGCAGAGAUAACAUUUCUAGACACCAUAUAUGAGUGCUUCUUCAAGCAGUUAGUUCUGGAAACCACAAAGAGAGAGCUAAUUCUUGAUUUAGUCCUUAGUGGAGCACAGGAUCUAUUCAAGAGGUAACUAUAACUGAACUGCUUCAUAAUAUCAGGGGGUAGCCGUGUUAGUCUGUAUCUACAAAAACAAC